CACUCCUGCGGGAGGCAGCAGUGGGGAAUAUUGCACAAUGGGCGCAAGCCUGAUGCAGCCAUGCCGCGUGUAUGAAGAAGGCCUUCGGGUUGUAAAGUACUUUCAGCGGGGAGGAAGGCGAUAAGGUUAAUAACCUUGUCGAUUGACGUUACCCACAGAAGAAGCACCGGCUAACUCCGUGCCAGCAGCCGCGGUAAUACGGAGGGUGCAAGCGUUAAUCGGAAUUACUGGGCGUAAAGCGCACGCAGGCGGUCUGUCAAGUCGGAUGUGAAAUCCCCGGGCUCAACCUGGGAACUGCAUUCGAAACUGGCAGGCUAGAGUCUUGUAGAGGGGGGUAGAAUUCCAGGUGUAGCGGUGAAAUGCGUAGAGAUCUGGAGGAAUACCGGUGGCGAAGGCGGCCCCCUGGACAAAGACUGACGCUCAGGUGCGAAAGCGUGGGGAGCAAACAGGAUUAGAUACCCUUGUAGUCCCAUGA
rnacentral:rRNA from 1 species